UACGUAGGGUGCGAGCGUUGUCCGGAAUUAUUGGGCGUAAAGAGCUUGUAGGCGGUUUGUCGCGUCUGCUGUGAAAAUCCGGGGCUCAACCCCAGUCCUGCUUCCGAUACGGGUGGACUAGAGGUAGGCAGGGGAGAACGGAAUUCCUGGUGUAGCGGUGAAAUGCGCAGAUAUCAGGAGGAACACCGGUGGCGAAGGCGGUUCUCUGGGCCUUACCUGACGCUGAGGAGCGAAAGCGUGGGGAGCAAACAGG
rnacentral:rRNA from 1 species